AGUAGCCGCGGUAAUACGGAGGGUGCGAGCGUUACCCGGAAUCACUGGGCGUAAAGGGCGCGUAGGCGGCAUGUUAAGUCUGGUUUUAAAGACAGGGGCUCAACCCCUGGAGUGGACUGGAUACUGGCACGCUUGACCUCUGGAGAGGUAACUGGAAUUUCUGGUGUAGCGGUGGAAUGCGUAGAUACCAGAAGGAACACCAAUGGCGAAGGCAAGUUACUGGACAGAAGGUGACGCUGAGGCGCGAAAGUGUGGGGAGCGAACCGGAUUAGAUACCCCAGUAGUCCCUGUCUCUUAUACA
rnacentral:rRNA from 1 species